CGCCAAAUUAACUCAUCUCUCGGUAAACAAAAGGCUCAUUUGCAUUUUCGGUGGUUUUAUUCAAGACCCCGUGAUUCGGGAACACAGGUGCGCUGCAGCUGAUUUCUGCACCCCGCGCACAUAAAUAACAGCCCUGGCGUGUCUGUCACACAACAUCCCUGCAAUAAAUUAAGUGUGGUUAUAUUACAUGAUUGAUUUAGAACUCGCCUACAAGAGACGGGAAAUUAUGCUCACGACUAAACUUAUUUCAAGGCGUGAUAUUUUUACAGCUGCAGUAGCGCAGUGCGGCCAGCGGGGGUCUGUGUGAGCUCAGUGGAGCUGCUUUUGGGCAUGACGUCACCUCGUACUCGGAGUGCAGCAGCUUGUGUAACAUCUUAAAAGAACAAUACAGUAAACAAGUCUUAACAGUUGCCAGAAACAGAGCACAUGCCGCAGAUGUGCAUUACAAUAUUCAUUCAGGAGAACAUGCAGGUCAGCGCGGUGGACCAGACAUCCUGAUAAAAUUGGGACAGACCUGAUUUAAUGAACCGUGUCCUGCUUCCCCAGUGGAGUUACUGUUGAAUGCUGUUUGUUCAGGGCUCAACAUUCCUGUGGGUUCAGUCUCGCCUCCAGAUUCCUGGAGAAACUCGCUGCCUUCCUCUUUUCCGGACACACAUCAUUGCUGUUCAGUUGCAAAACUGAAUCACGACUGUCAGCGGACUCGACUCCAUCCCAGUCUCGCCGAGAGCAUUCGACUCCAGACCCCAAUAGCAUUUGAUUUUAAACAUUCGCAUUUAGGCUGGAAAGAAAAGAAUCUCCCGAGGGAUUCAGAAAUGGAGGGAGAGCCAUCAGCUGUCAGGAGGAACUUAAUAAACAAAAUGAAAGGGGCUCAGGGGCAGAAGCAAUAAAGAAAUAAAGUCCUUUACGCCUAGAGACACAAUCAUGUAGCUCAAGAUCAUCUCCUUAAAGGAAUAGGUCACCCCCCAAAUUUAAAUUCAUUAUUUAUUCAACCACGUCGUUCCAAGGGAUUGAUUUCUUUCACUGAACACACAUAAACGUUGCAUUGAUGUUCUGCAUUUCAUUGAGCUUUCGUUUUGUAAAUACGAUUUUAGGCAUUUGCACACAAUAAAAGGGAGCUUGAUCUUUGCUCUGUGGACUAUUGAUGCUGAAACUUCAACAGUUUAACAAUGGGACUUUUAUUGAUAUUUUAGUAGUUUGAAAUAAUAUAAUGUAUAAGACAUAAUACAUAGAAAAAUAAGUCUGUAAAAUAACAGACAACGGCACGCCAGGCUUAUUAUUGAUAUGUACCCCUAUAUAUAAUUAUGAAGACUGUAAAAUACACCCAACCCAAGCUCAUUGUGAAAACGUAGUCCCGCGGACAUUUCUGGAGACCGCGAUUUACGUAGCUGGAGAUACGUAUGGCCACAUUUGUUUUUUUUCAAGCGAACGCUGCAGGGCGGUGUGACGCCGCUCCUCUUCGUGCUCGCCG
rnacentral:lncRNA from 1 species